rnacentral:rRNA from 1 species
UGUGACUGCGUACCUUUUGUAUAAUGGGUCAGCGACUUAUAUUCUGUAGCAAGGUUAACCGAAUAGGGGAGCCGAAGGGAAACCGAGUCUUAACUGGGCGUUAAGUUGCAGGGUAUAGACCCGAAACCCGGUGAUCUAGCCAUGGGCAGGUUGAAGGUUGGGUAACACUAACUGGAGGACCGAACCGACUAAUGUUGAAAAAUUAGCGGAUGACUUGUGGCUGGGGGUGAAAGGCCAAUCAAACCGGGAGAUAGCUGGUUCUCCCCGAAAGCUAUUUAGGUAGCGCCUCGUGAAUUCAUCUCCGGGGGUAGAGCACUGUUUCGGCAAGGGGGUCAUCCCGACUUACCAACCCGAUGCAAACUGCGAAUACCGGAGAAUGUUAUCACGGGAGACACACGGCGGGUGCUAACGUCCGUCGUGAAGAGGGAAACAACCCAGACCGCCAGCUAAGGUCCCAAAGUCAUGGUUAAGUGGGAAACGAUGUGGGAAGGCCCAGACAGCCAGGAUGUUGGCUUAGAAGCAGCCAUCAUUUAAAGAAAGCGUAAUAGCUCACUGGUCGAGUCGGCCUGCGCGGAAGAUGUAACGGGGCUAAACCAUGCACCGAAGCUGCGGCAGCGACACUGUGUGUUGUUGGGUAGGGGAGCGUUCUGUAAGCCUGUGAAGGUGUGCUGUGAGGCAUGCUGGAGGUAUCAGAAGUGCGAAUGCUGACAUAAGUAACGAUAAAGCGGGUGAAAAGCCCGCUCGCCGGAAGACCAAGGGUUCCUGUCCAACGUUAAUCGGGGCAGGGUGAGUCGACCCCUAAGGCGAGGCCGAAAGGCGUAGUCGAUGGGAAACAGGUUAAUAUUCCUGUACUUGGUGUUACUGCGAAGGGGGGACGGAGAAGGCUAUGUUGGCCGGGCGACGGUUGUCCCGGUUUAAGCGUGUAGGCUGGUUUUCCAGGCAAAUCCGGAAAAUCAAGGCUGAGGCGUGAUGACGAGGCACUACGGUGCUGAAGCAACAAAUGCCCUGCUUCCAGGAAAAGCCUCUAAGCAUCAGGUAACAUCAAAUCGUACCCCAAACCGACACAGGUGGUCAGGUAGAGAAUACCAAGGCGCUUGAGAGAACUCGGGUGAAGGAACUAGGCAAAAUGGUGCCGUAACUUCGGGAGAAGGCACGCUGAUAUGUAGGUGAAGUCCCUCGCGGAUGGAGCUGAAAUCAGUCGAAGAUACCAGCUGGCUGCAACUGUUUAUUAAAAACACAGCACUGUGCAAACACGAAAGUGGACGUAUACGGUGUGACGCCUGCCCGGUGCCGGAAGGUUAAUUGAUGGGGUCAGCGCAAGCGAAGCUCUUGAUCGAAGCCCCGGUAAACGGCGGCCGUAACUAUAACGGUCCUAAGGUAGCGAAAUUCCUUGUCGGGUAAGUUCCGACCUGCACGAAUGGCGUAAUGAUGGCCAGGCUGUCUCCACCCGAGACUCAGUGAAAUUGAACUCGCUGUGAAGAUGCAGUGUACCCGCGGCAAGACGGAAAGACCCCGUGAACCUUUACUAUAGCUUGACACUGAACAUUGAGCCUUGAUGUGUAGGAUAGGUGGGAGGCUUUGAAGUGUGGACGCCAGUCUGCAUGGAGCCGACCUUGAAAUACCACCCUUUAAUGUUUGAUGUUCUAACGUGGACCCGUGAUCCGGGUUGCGGACAGUGUCUGGUGGGUAGUUUGACUGGGGCGGUCUCCUCCUAAAGAGUAACGGAGGAGCACGAAGGUUGGCUAAUCCUGGUCGGACAUCAGGAGGUUAGUGCAAUGGCAUAAGCCAGCUUGACUGCGAGCGUGACGGCGCGAGCAGGUGCGAAAGCAGGUCAUAGUGAUCCGGUGGUUCUGAAUGGAAGGGCCAUCGCUCAACGGAUAAAAGGUACUCCGGGGAUAACAGGCUGAUACCGCCCAAGAGUUCAUAUCGACGGCGGUGUUUGGCACCUCGAUGUCGGCUCAUCACAUCCUGGGGCUGAAGUAGGUCCCAAGGGUAUGGCUGUUCGCCAUUUAAAGUGGUACGCGAGCUGGGUUUAGAACGUCGUGAGACAGUUCGGUCCCUAUCUGCCGUGGGCGCUGGAGAACUGAGGGGGGCUGCUCCUAGUACGAGAGGACCGGAGUGGACGCAUCACUGGUGUUCGGGUUGUCAUGCCAAUGGCACUGCCCGGUAGCUAAAUGCGGAAGAGAUAAGUGCUGAAAGCAUCUAAGCACGAAACUUGCCCCGAGAUGAGUUCUCCCUGACCCUUUAAGGGUCCUGAAGGAACGUUGAAGACGACGACGUUGAUAGGCCGGGUGUGUAAGCGCAGCGAUGCGUUGAGCUAACCGGUACUAAUGAACCGUGAGGCUUAACCU